AGGGGAUUUGUAGUUGAAAAGAUGAAGAGAGGAAACUGUUUUCUGAAAACCUACGGACAGGAUUGCUGGAUUGCUGUUUCUUGCAUAGAAGCUCAGCUGAAAACAAAAUGCUUAAUCAAGCCCUAAAGAAGGUGGAGAAGCAGCUGGCUCGUGAUUUUCUGCGAUGGAUGUAUCUCUUGUGGA